CAGCAGCCGCGGUAAUACGAGGGGGGCAAGCGUUGUUCGGAAUUAUUGGGCGUAAAGGGUGCGUAGGCGGCUUGACAAGUCUUGUGUGAAAUCUAUGGGCUCAACUCAUAGCCUGCACGGGAAACUGUCGGGCUUGAGAAUGGGAGAGGUGAGUUGAAUUUCCGGUGUAGCGGUGAAAUGCGUAGAUAUCGGAAGGAACACCUGUGGCGAAAGCGGCUCACUGGACAAUAACUGACGCUGAUGCACGAAAGCUAGGGGAGCAAACAGGAUUAGAUACCCGCGUAGUCCCUGUCUCUUAUAA
rnacentral:rRNA from 1 species